UAAUAUAUCAAGAUAGAAACUAAGAGAUUAUAAUCCAAAUCUUAUUAUAUAUAUAUAUAGAGGGGCCAAAAAAACAAUGGAUUGAUGGGUAGGUCUCUACUUACCAAUCCAUUGUUCUUUGGGCCCUUCUAGAUAUACUGUAUAUAUAUGGUAAUGGGUCGGGGAGGUGGCUUGGCGGCAUCUCUUUGGCCUGUCCAUUGUCCCGGUGGAGUUUCAUCCAGAUGCACCCUGGUGUCUCGUUGGUGGUGGGCUGGGGCGCCAUUUGUUGCAGAUGGGGUCUGUCAUCCCCGCUUCUCUCGGAUGGCGGGUGGAGUUUCUGUCUGAAACUUCUUGAUGUAUGCUGCAAUGGUGGCUGUGCUGUCAAGGAGGAGUGGCUCAGUCGGGCCCUGAAGUGGCGUAUCACACAGCAAUUUCUAGUAAAUUGAUAGCUUUGUCAUGAUAGAUGUGUACAACUGUAAAGAUUCCACUUACUUGCUUGUGUUUACAUAUUAUAACAAAUCAACCUCUCAGCAAG
rnacentral:lncRNA from 1 species